UACGAAGGGGGCGAGCGUUUGUUCGGAAUUACUGGGCGUAAAGGGCGCGCAGGCGGCUCUGAAAGUCAGAUGUGAAAGCCCCGGGCUUAACCUGGGAAUUGCAUUUGAUACUCUGGAGCUUGAGUGUGGGAGAGGAGAGUGGAAUUCCCAGUGUAGAGGUGAAAUUCGUGAGAUAUUGGGAAGAACACCGGUGGCGAAGGCGGCUCUCUGGACCACAACUGACGCUGAGGCGCGAAAGCGGUGGGGAGCAAACAGG
rnacentral:rRNA from 1 species